CGCAUCUGUGCAUGCAGCAUAUCAAUAAGCGGAGGAAAAGAAACUAACAAGGAUUCCCUUAGUAACGGCGAGUGAAGCGGGAAGAGCUCAAAUUUGAAAUCUUGAAAGGUCACCUUUCACGAAUUGUAGUUUAAAGAAGUGUUUUCUGUUACGAUCGUAAUAUAAGUUCUUUGGAAUAGGACAUCACAGAGGGUGAGAAUCCCGUCUAUGAUUGCGAUUUGUAGCUUUGUGAUACACUUUCAAAGAGUCGGGUUGUUUGGGAAUGCAGCCCAAAACGGGAGGUAAAUUUCUUCUAAGGCUAAAUAUUGGCGAGAGACCGAUAGCGAACAAGUACCGUGAGGGAAAGAUGAAAAGAACUUUGAAAAGAGGAGUUAAAUAGUACGUGAAAUUGUCAAAAGGGAAGCGUUUAACACCAGUGUUGUUUUCUGAAAAUCAACCUCUGUUAGCUUUAUGCAUGUUUGUUUAGACCUAAUCAGCUAUCUUGCAUGUUCUAUUGUUUGCAGUGGUGCACUUUUCAGUUUACAGGUCAACAUCAGUUUUUUUUACCGUAAAAAAGUUAAAGAAAGGUAGCUCAUGGCUCCGGUCGUGAGUGUUAUAGUCUUUUUCCUAUGCGGUAGGAGAGACUGAGGUCUGCAGUGUAGGCUAUUUGGCUAGAUACUCAGGUGCUAUGUGAUACCAUUUCAUAAACAACUUGUUGAUUAUGUUUUGUCUAUUGCAUACUCGCUUGUACUAUCAUACCUACGCUUAGGAUGUUGACGAUCAGCUGAGCGCG
rnacentral:rRNA from 1 species